AAACGACUCCAGACGAGAUAAUAAUGACAACUUCACUGAUUUUCGCGCUGCUGUUUGUCACGGUGUCGUGUCUACCUGUCCCAGUCUUGCCGGGUCCGAAGACGGACAAAGUUCCAAUUACUACGUCACAAUUUCAAAACCCCACGGCAUCGACAGAGAAGACAAAGGCUUCCCAAUCAUAACCCGAAAUGAAAUACCAGAUGACACACACCAGACCUCUAACUUUUGGCCAGAGCUGGGAGACUACCCUGAAUCCAUCACUGGCAAUGUGGCAAAUAGCAGGAGUUUUCUAGUGAACAAAGAAGCUCUUGCAGCUAUCAUUGCAGGUGGUGUGGUGGGACUAGCAUUGGCUGCUAGCUUGCUAACACUGCUCAUCUAUAGCAUGAAGAAGAAAGACUGGGGAGACACUUCAAAGGGAGGAUAUUUGAAAGGCAAUACCAAGGAGUUUAUGGUGUAACUUUCCUAUGAAUGAAUGAAUGACUGCAAAUCGCUUUGGAUAUAAGUGUUGGCCAGAUGGGACGUGCUGUUAGUUUAAAACCAGGCGGAUUGAACCCUGAAUGUUGAUUGCAAGCUGUUGUAUACAAGACUAUAUCACGGGUGAUAAUAAAACAUGUAUUUUUACUGUUCAAAUGGCAAUAUGUUGUUCCACACUUUCCUGUCAAAUAAAGCAUAAAAUUGCCUGAAAAAUAUGUAUUUAAAAAAUACAUAUAUACCGUCACACUUUAUUUGCAUAGUCACAAUUACAAUCUGUUGAUGCUCUAGAGAUAUUUAUACUAUCCACAACAUAUAUGAAAAACUAAAUAAAUGCUUGUUAGGCUAGGGUUAGAUCAAGAAAGAGAGUUAGGGAAAGAAUUAAGGUUAUUGUAAGAAGAUAGUUAAUUGAAAUGUUAUAGAUGAUGUAGGUCAGUGGUUCCCAACCAGGGGUACUAGGACCCCUGGGGGUACUUGGCCUUUCCACAGGGGGUACUUGAAAACACUCAAGUACCCCACUAGUGAAAUGAACAUGAGGGGGUACUUCAGGGGUACUCCAAGCAGUGCAAAUUAUUUUUGGGGGUACAGUAACUGAAAAAGGUUGGGAGCCACUGAUGUAGAUUGUCUGAAAAUCAUCUGUAGAUUGACUUUACAAAUAAACUGUUACCAUAUGUACUGUAUAUGUGAUUACAAGUUUUCUGAACUUUAUUAGUGUUUCAGCAGUUCACUGGUGAAAUACUAUUGUUUUUGUAACAGU
ensembl:lncRNA